rnacentral:snRNA from 1 species
GGUGCAAAUCGCAUGUGUC